GAAAGUAAAUAAUAAUAGCGAAAAAAUGGAAGCGAAAAUAGGCUGUUUUUAACCUUAAUUCGCUUCCAUUUUUUCGCUAUUAUUAUUUUCUU
rnacentral:misc_RNA from 1 species